rnacentral:tRNA from 1 species
GGAGAGGUGGCUCAGUGGUUAACAGCACUGGCUGCUCUCCCAGAGGGUCUGGGUUCAAUUCCCAGCAUCUACA